GACGAACGCUGGCGGCGUGCUUAACACAUGCAAGUCGAGCGAGGCCCCUCCUUCGGGAGGGUGUCCUAGCGGCGAACGGGUGAGUAACACGUGGGCAACCUGCCCUCAGCUCUGGGAUAACUCCGGGAAACCGGGGCUAAUACCGGAUACGACCUCCACGGGCAUCUGCGGAGGUGGAAAGUUUUUCGGCUGAGGAUGGGCCCGCGGCCUAUCAGCUAGUUGGUGGGGUAGUGGCCCACCAAGGCGACGACGGGUAGCCGGCCUGAGAGGGCGACCGGCCACACUGGGACUGAGACACGGCCCAGACUCCUACGGGAGGCAGCAGUGGGGAAUAUUGCGCAAUGGGCGAAAGCCGGACGCAGCGACGCCGCGUGAGGGACGAAGGCCUUCGGGUUGUAAACCUCUUUCAGCAGGGACGAAGCGAAAGUGACGGUACCUGCAGAAGAAGCACCGGCCAACUACGU
rnacentral:rRNA from 1 species